rnacentral:rRNA from 1 species
AUUGAACGCUGGCGGCAGGCCUAACACAUGCAAGUCGAACGAGUGGCGGAGGGGUGAGUAAGGUCUGGGAAACUGCCUGAUGGAGGGGGACAACUACUGGAAACGGUAGCUAAUACAGCAUACCAUCGGGAGUGACCAGAUGUGAGUAGCUAUGAGGUGGGGUAAAGGAUCACCUAGGCGACGAUCCCUCGCUGGUCUGAGAGGAUGACCAGCCACACUGGAACUGAGACACGGUCCAGACUCCUACGGGAGGCAGCAGUGGGGAAUAUUGCACAAUGGGCGCAAGCCUGAUGCAGCCAUGCCGCGUGUAUGAAGAAGGCCUUCGGGUUGUAAAGUACUUUCAGCGGGGAGGCGUUACCCGCAGAAGAAGCACCGGCUAACUCCGUGCCAGCCGCCGCGGUAAUUC